rnacentral:tRNA from 6 species
GCCGGGGUGGCGGAACUGGCAGACGCACAGGACUUAAAAUCCUGCGGUGAGUUAUCACCGUACCGGUUCGAUUCCGGUCCUCGGCACCA